GUCCCUUUCACAAUCAUUCGAAACAUGAUUAUGAAGGGCUUUUUUCAAAAUAUGAAGAGUAAUGCCUUAACGUUAAGUUUUUUUAAAAGGUUGACCUCAGUUACAGACAAAAUGUUCACAAUUCAGAACAGGAACAAGGAAAUCUCUUAUACCAUAUAGAUGCCAGCCCUUGUCAUUGCAUCAAUAACACACCGACAGACUGUAAUGUAUCAGAAAAGAGGGAUUUGAUCGUGCAAGUUUUGAAGAAGCUUUGAAGGAGUUUCAUCUCGACGGUCAACUGGAAAACUUUUUAGAAAAGGGAAUAGAUUGCAUUCAAGUAUUUCUUAAUCAGAAAGAGGAACAUUUAAAGGAUUUAGAUAUGAAUGAGAAUCAGAUAUUAAAAUGCCAACUUGCCAUGCCAGCUAUUGCACAUAAAUAUUUUGAACAUGGUAGUAAGCGGUUACCAAACACCAAAUGAACAAUAAAAAAAACUAUUAUAAGAGGAUGUGCAAAACUUAUAGAUAUUGUGAAAACCUUGAAUGAUAAAGAACAUAGAA